UUUGAACUUGAGGAGGGAAGGACAAGAUAGUUCCCAUUAGAUAGGCCCUCUAAAUUCGCUUUUCACCCUUCCUCACUUGGAUCCUAGGGCAGAUACGGGGCCCCCUGGUCCCUUGGCUUGCAGCUGGGGGGGUCAGCCAACUGGGAGGGGAUGAGUCACCUUCACACCCUGUCCUGAAAGCUGGUCACUCACCUGCCCCACGGCCACAGCUCCUAGAGAUAGUAACAUCUUCCCAAUGUCACUGAAAUCUUUUCCAACUUCCCUUGUCUUUAUAACAGACUUUGUAAUGGCAGAGUCUGCCUCCCACGGGGACCCUAACCAAAAAGCGUUCUUCCUCCUCCUGAACUGGUUAGAUUUCAGGAGAAUUUUUAAAUAUUCAACUUAUUUUUUUUCUUAUUCCAGGCAGGAAACACACGCAGUAUAAACCAACAGACAAUAAAGAUCUCCUGCAUUUCCAGCCUUGAGCAACAUUUCCACUGUUGAUCUUUAGGCAUGGCAGCAAGCGACGUUCCAGAAUGUUCUGGAAUGUGGCUGCUCCCGUCAUAACUACGAUGAGCCUCACAGAGCCUCCCUGGAUGGGCCCAAAAUGGACAUGCAGCACCAGUGAGAAAUAAACCUUGUGGUUUUCAGCCACUCGCUGAGCUGUCUAUGCAGCAUAACCUGGCCCAGCCUGAUUAUUAGAAGCUGCACUCCUAUUUUACAGGGGAGGAAACUGAGGCACACACAGGUGAAGUCGCGUCCCCAGUCACCCAGCUACGAGCCCUAGAAGCUGGGAAUCUGAGCUACAGGAAGAAAAUGGGGACUUCAGUCCGACAACCGCAAGGAACUGAACUCUGCAAGCCCUGAAAGAGCAAGGAAACUGGUCCUCCCCUGCGGCCUGCAGGGAGGAGCGCAGCCGGCUGGCACCUUCAUGGGGCAGGGGAGACCCGGGCCGGACCUCCGACCUCUGGAACUGCCAGACAAGAACCUUGCGUUGUUUGGAAACGCUAAGCGUGUGCGGGCAGCUGUAGUAACUCACAAUAACUCACGGUGAGAGCCCGGGCUUCUGGGCGGCCGAGGGGCGUGGCCCGGCUCAGGGGCUCACGGGCGCACCCUGG